rnacentral:lncRNA from 1 species
AUAUAUAUUUGUAUUCUAAGUACAUAUGUCACUCAUUUACUUAUUACCCUUUAGAUCUUUUUUUGACCAAUUAUAUCCAAAUGAAAUAUAUUUUAGUCACUAUUCAAAGGGCAUAAUUGUCCAAAAAGAUGUGUAUGCGAUCAUUAUGAGAUUAAGAUGGACUUUUUAUGAUCAUUUUGCUAAACCAUGGUUUUGUUGUUGACAUUUUCCCUAACAUUUACCAUACAAUGGGAAUAUGAACUGUAAUUAUUACUAAUAAUAUUACUAAACCCUAAUGGGUGAGUUAAACUCAUGUAUGACUCUAAACAUCUCCUUUAUUAU